GAUGCAGCCAUGCCGCGUGUAUGAAGAAGGCCUUCGGGUUGUAAAGUACUUUCAGCAGUGAGGAAGGGGGGURCGUUAAUAGCGUGCUUAUUUUGACGUUAGCUGCAGAAGAAGCACCGGCUAACUCCGUGCCAGCAGCCGCGGUAAUACGGAGGGUGCGAGCGUUAAUCGGAAUUACUGGGCGUAAAGCGCAUGCAGGUGGUUUGUUAAGUCAGAUGUGAAAGCCCGGGGCUCAACCUCGGAAUUGCAUUUGAAACUGGCAGACUAGAGUACUGUAGAGGGGGGUAGAAUUUCAGGUGUAGCGGUGAAAUGCGUAGAGAUCUGAAGGAAUACCGGUGGCGAAGGCGGCCCCCUGGACAGAUACUGACACUCAGAUGCGAAAGCGUGGGGAGCAAACAGGAUUAGAUACCCUGGUAGUCCACGCCGUAAACGAUGUCUACUUGGAGGUUGUGGCCUUGAGCCGUGGCUUUCGGAGCUAACGCGUUAAGUA
rnacentral:rRNA from 1 species